AUGUUCUUCGUUUUUUCUCUUUGUUGGGAUUGCUGUGCAAAGCAGCAAUCCCAAGAUAUGUUCUUCGUUUUUUCUCUUUAUUAUUAUUCCGCCGUUUUUCGGUCGCUAUCUAGUCCUACACCGUUCGACGUAGAAACGUCAUUCAAACACCGUCGCGUUCAGCUCGAUGAGGAGAUGGGUGCUUCUACUUUUUUCAGCGAUAUCUUUCAUAAUUUCCGAAAUAUUCCAGGUUUUGUCGGAAUUUUUUCCCAUAGGAAUGAAUGGAGAGAACGUUAAAAUCCCCUUUCAACUUUGUCCUCUUUGAGCUUUAACUGUGUCAGCAUACUUUCAGCUAGAAACACCAUUCGACCUUUAAACGGGUCAGAAGGCAUUAAUCUCUAAGUCUUGUAUACAGCUUUUUGAUAUCUAUUACGGUUUUUUCUUCAAUCGCAGUUUAAGUUUUAUGGUUUUUUUAGGAAAUUUCUGAAUUUUACAUUGGUGUGUAUGGGAGAGGGCUAGAGUGCGUGAUGUCAUCGCUAGAGUGGGAGAAGCUGUUAAGUUUAGGGAAAAUUUUUCUCUCUAACUCGCCGUCACGGCCACAAUUUUGACUCUUCAUACACCAUUUUCUCAAAAGUAGUAGAGAUUUUUGUCUUCUUUCAGGCAAUGCUGUUCUCAUUUUCAUAGGACCUAUGGUUUUUCCACAAGGUGGCCUAACAGACAGAGAGUGACUGCUCAAUCUCUCAUUCACUCCCAUUCUAAAGAUCUCUACAAUUUUUGGAGAGAAACACAAAUGAAGGCUGUUUCUAACUCGCCACCAAUCCUUCAUUUUUUGGAAUAUCUUCACAAAAAGUGGAUCGGUCUCUUUGUUGAAGCCUCCUGGCACUGUUAGUGAAAGAAUUAUAUUGAUAGCACUUAUAGUUUUUCUGUAAUCCCCCAGUUUGUAAGGUGAAGUUUUCUCAGUUUCUCCACUCAGCGUGUGUAAAGUGCUGUCACUCCCCCUCUCACUCUGGCCUUUGAUCACCAUAGCAACUACUCAACACAAAGCAGCUCAUUGCGCAAUAGCAGCAUAGCAGCUGUCUAUGUUUGGUAAUUAAGAAUGACUGGCUGCCAAAUGUCCACUGCUGUUACACUUGGUGACCACUGAGUACCACCCCCCCCACCCUCACCCUCACCCCCACUCUGGGCAUAGGUCACCAUAGCAACAGCUCAAAACAAAGCAAUAGCAGCAUAGCAUCUGUCUGUGGUUGGUAAUUAAGAAUGACUGGCUGUAUAAUGUCCACUGCUUUUACACAUGGGGAUAACUCAAUACCCCCCCCCCCCACCCUCACCCUCACCCCCACUCUGGGCAUAGGUGACCAUAGCAAAUACAUACAAUGCAUUAGCAGCAUAGCAUCUGUUUGUGGUUAGUAAUUAAGAAUGACUGGCUGCCAAAU
rnacentral:lncRNA from 1 species